AUCCAGCAACGAGUCCCAAAUAGGACGAAACGCGCAUUCUGGAU
rfam:Trichobilharzia regenti genome assembly, scaffold: TRE_scaffold0021413